UUGAAGAAUUUGAGAGAGACUGGAAACAGCGCCGAAGGUGAAAUGCGAAAACUCUCAGGCAAAAGGAUCAAAUUUGGACG
rnacentral:ncRNA from 1 species